rnacentral:rRNA from 1 species
GGAAUAUUGGGCAAUGGGCGAAAGCCUGACCCAGCGACGCCGCGUGCGGGAUGAAGGCCUUCGGGUUGUAAACCGCUUUCAGCAGGGAAGAAGCGAAAGUGACGGUACCUGAAGAAGAAGCACCGGCUAACUAUGUGCCAGCAGCCGCGGUAAUACAUAGGGUGCAAGCGUUGUCCGGAAUUAUUGGGCGUAAAGAGCUCGUAGGUGGUUCGUUACGUCGGAUGUGAAAACCUGAGGCUCAACCUCAGGCCUGCAUUCGAUACGGGCGAACUUGAGUGUGGUAGGGGAGGCUGGAAUUCCUGGUGUAGCGGUGGAAUGCGCAGAUAUCAGGAGGAACACCAAUGGCGAAGGCAGGCCUCUGGGCCACUACUGACACUGAGGAGCGAAAGCGUGGGGAGCAAACAGGAUUAGAUACCCUGGUAGUCCACGCUGUAAACGGUGGGCACUAGUUGUGGGAACCUUCCACGGUUUCUGCGACGUAGCAAACGCAUUAAGUGCCCCGCCUGGGGAGUACGAUCGCAAGAUUAAAACUCAAAGGAAUUGACGG